rnacentral:rRNA from 1 species
UAGGGAAUCUUCGGCAAUGGACGAAAGUCUGACCGAGCAACGCCGCGUGAGUGAAGAAGGUUUUCGGAUUGUAAAACUCUGUUGUUAGAGAAGAACAAGGACGUUAGUAACUGAACGUCCCCUGACGGUAUCUAACCAGAAAGCCACGGCUAACUACGUGCCAGCAGCCGCGGUAAUACGUAGGUGGCAAGCGUUGUCCGGAUUUAUUGGGCGUAAAGCGAGCGCAGGCGGUUUCUUAAGUCUGAUGUGAAAGCCCCCGGCUCAACCGGGGAGGGUCAUUGGAAACUGGGAGGCUUGAGUGCAGAAGAGGAGGGUGGAAUUCCGUGUGUAGCGGUGAAAUGCGUAGAUAUAUGGAGGAACACCAGUGGCGAAGGCGGCUCUCUGGUCUGUAACUGACGCUGAGGCGCGAAAGCGUGGGGAGCAAACAGG